rnacentral:SRP_RNA from 1 species
UGGGUAAGAUUUUGGGCAGUGGGAGCUACGGUCUGGUCCGCGAGGUCGUUGCUCGGGACGGCACCAAGGAGCUCUUUGCCGCCAAGAUCAUCCAGCGGAAGGUGAAGGGGAAGAACUGCCCCAAGCAGGAGAAGCAGCAGGCC